CAUCGGAACGUGCCCAAUCGUGGGGGAUAACGCAGCGAAAGCUGUGCUAAUACCGCAUACGAUCUACGGAUGAAAGCAGGGGAUCGCAAGACCUUGCGCGAAUGGAGCGGCCGAUGGCAGAUUAGGUAGUUGGUGAGGUAAAGGCUCACCAAGCCUUCGAUCUGUAGCUGGUCUGAGAGGACGACCAGCCACACUGGGACUGAGACACGGCCCAGACUCCUACGGGAGGCAGCAGUG
rnacentral:rRNA from 1 species